CGUGGGCAAAUUCUCCCUGCUCCAGCACUCCUAUUUUGGCAAGUUUCUGGGGAGGAGGGAGUCUGCAACCUUCACAUAAUACUCAACACACUCAGGCUCUCCAGACACUCCACGGUCACAAUAAAAUUCUAAACACAACUUGAUUUUUUAAAUCAGCCAUGAGUACUUGGUGGGUGGGUCUUGAACAUCUUAGGCUGUGUUUGCUGUUGGCAAGAGUAGUAUAGGAUAAAACAAUUCUUUCAGACUUCACAGGGUUUAAGAAGACUUGGUCUGUAGUGUCCCUUCCCUGGACUUGUGAGUUUAAAAGGGGGAAAAUGCUUCAAACCAUCUUCCCCCUGAGUCAUAAAUAUUUUUCCCAUCACUUCAGUGUCAUAAUCUCUCAAUCUUUCUCUCAAGAGAAAUAAUAUUCAGCAGUGAAAGCCAGGGCCAAGCCCUUUGCUGAGAGGUCAGGGACUGUAAGAGCAGCAUCCCUUGAAACAGGAUCUGAGGCAGGAGACCAGGAUACAGCAGUGUUUGCUUGUUUGCUCAGUUUUCUUUUUUAUUUUUUUUUUGUGUGAAAUGGCUUGGCACCAGUUUAUACUUCAUGUGAAAUACUUACUGUUGUCUUAACUGCAGGAAUUUUAAAAGCUUGAUCAGAAAUAUGAUCUCUCUAGUUUGUAUGCAUACUUUCCAGUAACCCAAUUAAACCCCAGCUGCUAUGCAGGAGAGAGUGAGGGUGAGUCAGAUCCUUUUUCCAAGCACUGUUCUUUAUAGAUUGCUCUUGUGCCCUCUUUGACUGAUCAGAAUUUAAUUACAUUGAAGGAAAAUUUAAAAAAAUCUAAUACUUUGUUUGGGGAUGGAAAAAUCUAAGAAUUCUUAUGGUUUCCCAAAAAUGUUUAGGACCCAAUCUUGCUCUCAGCUGAUGGAACAGCAGUUUUGGUGUGCAGUUCAAUGGGGCUCCAAGCUCUACCCCUCUUCCUCCCCUUUCCUCAGGUAACGAUGGAAGUUAGCUGGAAACCUGAUUGUCAGCUGGCCAAAGGAAGUAAACUCCUCCGAGUCUUUUGAUUGUACAGCUUGUGACUCUUCAAAUCCCUGGACUGCAAGACUCUAAUGAUUUUCCAAAGCUGCAACUGUUAGUUGGCUCUUGCUGUAAUUGAUGGACACUGCCAGUUGCUUAGACAGAUGGGAAUUAAUACCAGUGUUCCCAUUAGAACUCACCAUCACAGUCACGCUGGCUUUGCACUGGGUUGAUGUGUGCAAGAGAGUGCGUGUGGAAGGAGCAAGCGUGGUUCCGGCCUGCAGUACUUGCCCUCCAGGGUGUUGGAGCCAUCCAUCCAGCACAGAGCAGAUGAGCUGCUUGCCAGUUUGCAGAACACAUGGCUUUGAGGUGGUGUGGAAAAUGCUUCUUUCCUGGAUGCUGAGAGGCUGUGGUGAGUGGGACUCUCAUCCCCAGAGGCGUUUGUGAGCUGUAUUUACAGGUAGGCUGACAGAACACACAGCAGCUCAGCUGGAGGUGCCGGUGUCCCUGCGUGCUGGUUUGUUGGUUCCAUGCAGGGCAGGUCACACACACACAGUGCCCUCUCCUCCUCCCGAGUCUCCUGCCGUCAAAUCCAUGCGUGCUGCUCAGACCCAGCAGGUCCGGCUGCUUGCUCAGCCUAGGGGCUGAGGUGUGAGCAGUGCAUGGGAGCCCCUCCCCAAACCCAGCCGCCGAGCUGUGGUGUGCGUGGCCGUGCGCUCGCACGCAGCACAGGAGAUGUUUGACGCUCAAGGUAGGAGCGUGCUGCCCACUGCUAUGCCAAUUACUGGAUAUUAAUGGCAGGAUAGCAUGCAUAUGCCUAAACUGGGAAGCAGAAGGUUAAUAGACGAACAGCACCAGAAGAUCCCAUUUAUCAGUUUCUAUUUAUCUCUCCUUGGGAGGUGGCAGGUUUACAGUAAAUACCUUCUGUCCUCCUAAUUUCCUAAUGAUGGGGAUAAUGAUGGAGAAUGGUGAAGUCAUUAACUGGGACAGCCUCUGUGCAUCACUCUGUCAACCACAUCUCUCCAAGACCUGCAAUGAAAAGUGAUAGGCCCCAGCUGUUCACCAGAUUCUGUUCCCUUCCCCCUUCCCCAUGCUCAACCCCAAUUGCAAGCUUAGCAAUUCAAAAACAAGGGGAAAAAAUGAGACCCAAGACCUGAAUGACACAUGCCAGUCCCUUUUUAUGCUCUGGCAAUGAUAGCCUAGUGCCCUGCACUUGGGUGUGGGUUGGCCCCUAUUCCAAUGCUCCCAGUUAAAUGCAGGUGUGCGGUUCUGGAGGGAGGAGUAUGGGCUGGUAUGAGUGGAAGCCGGAAGAAGAUUGUGCUUCUGGAGCAGAGGCCCUGGGUUUCCUUAGUCCUGCCUCCCAUUCUUGCCUUCUGUGGAAGAACCUGUUCAAUGCCUGUAAAAACGGCGCCAGUUCUGUGUGUCUGACUCUUGUGUCCUGGGGUACUGAUGGAUUUUGGGGCUCACCAAUGGUCGUGUGGAACUGUGGGGAGCACAGGGGGUGGGCUCUGUUUCUAGAUCCCACUGCUUCAAGUUCACAGGACAGAGAAGUGUUCCUGAAAGAUGAACAGAGGAUCAAAUGAAGACGCUCGUAAGUAAAUUAUUGCUUUGAAAAGAUUGUCUUUUUUUUCCCACUAUGACAUUUCUGUGUAAGUGACUCUUGAGGCUUUUUAUAUUUGUUUCACAUUUGGACAGUGGCUGGGAGUUGAUGACUGUGUUCAGGGAGUUAAGAGUGGUUUGCCAUUUAUAGCAGCCAUGUGUUCAUCCAGUGAGGGCCUGUGAUUAUGGCCAGCCCUAUUUUGAGCAGGCUGUGGCCAGGAGCACCAUGUGGCAGAGCCACCCAGCCAUCCUGUGGGUGGUGCUUUUUGGUCGUGGCUGCCACGUGCUGUGCCUGGGAGUCUGACCUUCUGCCUGGGUGUGCUCUGAAAAGAGAGGCCUGCCUGAAGUGAGGUUUUCCUGUGCAUCCACCGUGUGCUGGGCUCAUAAAAGAACUCUGGAGCUGUGGGAGCUUUGUGUUAGAAGGGUUCAUUAACUUUCAAAUGUUUCAAUUGAGAAAUUUCAGAGCUCUUAGCAUAGGCCAGGGUGGCCAGCUCAGCCAAGAGUGUCCCCUGACAGUCAGGUACAGAUGUGAUUGCUAGUCAGAGCACCGUAAGAAACCUAAUAGUGUCCCAGCAAAUGUCAUACUUGAGCUGGAAAGGAUUAAACCAGAUAGCCCGGAGAGGCUGUAAAUAAUUUUUAUUGGGCUUUAAGAACUAGGGAGACAAGAGGAGCCUUUGCCUUGUAGCUUGCAAAGAAUUGUGCCUGCAGGGUUGCGGAGUGUGUGCAGUGGUGAAAGAAAGGGUUCUGGGACUGGUCUUAAUCUGAGCAGGUGCUUUCUCAAGUGCCUCGGGCUAGGAUAGAUGGUGAUGGUACAAAGGGGUGUUCUUCUGACUGAUAUCUCUGGUGUCUGAGCUCUGAGACAUGAGAAAUGAAAGGCAACAGAAGACUUUACUGUUUGGGGCUUGUGAUGUUAGCUAGUUAGUACGUGAGACAAAUGGAGUGUAAGUGUUCCCUAAACACUUCCUUCUCCUUUGUUUUCAAAUUCUAGAUGCUUUUCUCUACUAUUUAAACCUACUGAGUUGGUUUUUUGGUUUUCUUUUUUUAAACUCAUGCUAAUCUUUUAGCUGUAUGCUGCGGAGUCUUCUCCCAAGGGAGGGGAGUUGAGUUAAACACCUCUGGUAUCACUUGGUUAAUAACUUUGUGCCUCCAAUCACAAAUUGUGAGGCUGGGGAAAGAGGAGUUUGAUGUCAUGUGUGAUCAUUCAGGCCCCUCUGUUUAACCGUGUUAGCUUGGCACUGGCUUAGGGGCUGAUGUUUGGCCCUAAGUCUGUCAUCCACCUUUGUUGUAGACGUGGGAGGAGGUGCCAGUUCAGUGAAUUCCAGCCACUCCUAGGACAAGCUGCAGGGGCUCUUGGAUGGUUUUUCAGUGUUGUGACCCUUGCUGGGUUGCUUUCUGGCCAGCUGGCCUUGCCUGGGUUCUCCUCAAGUAAAGGCUAGCCCAGUGCUCGCAGUGAGGCCGAGCCUUGUGGAUUGCAACCCUCUUGUGUUGCAAUGGUUCCUGUAGGAGCUCCUAGUCAAAAGUUAGCGUAUUGUUGGUUUUUAAUGUCUUAACUUGUUCUGGUCUGUCUGUUGAAAGCCCAGUGGUCCAAGGGUGAACUCUGUGCUUUCGUUUCUGUGGCCAGCCUGUGUGCUUUUGACAGCUCAAGCUUGGCACAAACCAGGCUGAAUAGAACAUGUGAUAUUACACAGCUGUUGGCUUCUAAAUAAGGGAAAUCAUAUUAGUACCUCCAUAAGCAGUCUGUACGGUGAUUUCAGGAAAGCAUGAGGUGGCUGUUCUCGCUGGGAAGAAAGAGCUGAUAGAUCUUAAACAUAAACUAACUGUAGGGAAGACUUAAUAGCCUAGUAAGGAGGAAAGUUUUGCUUCCUUGAGUAAUGUUUGGUGGGGAAAAUAAAGGCAGGACCAAUCGCCUAUCACUGUGGAAAUUUGUUUGGGUAGGACAAUAUCUACAGCACCAAAUCUUGAGGAGGAUGGCUGCUGUUAGAAGUAUUGCUGGUCAAGUGAAAGAAAUGUCACUGGAGCAUUGUAAUAGCUAUCUGAAAUAAUUUUCUCAAUUAUGUGUAACAUACAGCAGUCGAUGACUUAAAACAUUAUCCUAUGUGACAGGACAAAGGCAGCAAAAAUGUUAGAUUUAAGACGAUUUUUAAAGGUGCAGGAUGUACAUGCUAACCCUCUGGCUAUUGAGGGUUGAAAGGAAGCAGGAGUGGCUGUUGGCAGUGAGCAUUUAGCUCUUUACGACUUGCCUGACUACGUCUGGUUCUGGCUGCUGCACACAGCUAUGGCUUCCAGAGGGAAGGGUAGCAGUGCUUCUGCAGGACAUUAUGGAUAAACCUAAUGUUUUGCAUGGAUUUCAGUGGACUCUGGUUUCCAGAAGAUUGGUGUAAAAGGAAGCUGUCAGUGGUGUUUUGCUUGAGUAACUAAGUUGUUUCUGCUUUUGCUGGACGAGGUACUGAAGUUUGGAUUCAGUAGGAGGCACAUGCUCCAAGUGGCAGUGCUCACUGGGGCUGCUCUGCACUACUCAAAUAAGGGAGAGCUCAUGGAUGGCUGUGGAGAAAUGUGAAAUAAAGGCAGGGGGCUGUUAAAUAAGAUGAUGAUGGCUGUUUUAAGGAGAAGGCAGCUGGGUAUCCAGUGUAUCCCACUGACUGCCUCAGCUCAAAAGCCAUGUCGAGUGCUACAUUUGCUAUGGCACUAGCGUGUUUAAAGGGAAUUCCAAGAGCUCUAGAGGGUCCUGGCCAUCCACCACUUCUCUCUUCCAGAAGAGCUGUUGUGAUUUGUCUUGAUAUGAAAGAACCUUCUACUCGCUGGUCUCAGAACCUGCACGGUAUGAAUCUGCCCCUGCUGCCCUCGAUACUGACUCCUGCAAGUCCUGUGGUAAAGAGUUACUAACAUCCGGUAAAGAGCUAGGCUUUCGCUAAGUUGUAUUUCCUUUGUAAUUUUUACCUUUGUGAUAUGAUAUUUUCCUUAUUCUGCGUGCGUCUUUCCCCUUCCCGUCAUUGCUGCUGCUAGCAGAGGAAACCUCUGCAGUUCUGUCCUGCUCCCAUUUGUCAGAUAAACCAUCCAUGAUAGAGGGAGCUCAAAGCUCAACGGACUGUGCAUGCAGCGUUGUUGGGGUAAUCACUGUAAGAAGUGGGCAACACUGUGGUGCAGAGCUCUGCCUGUCUGUUCCCAGGGCUCUCAGUCAUGGAGUGUGUGCUCACAUACUCCAUCAGCUGCUGUUGGCUUGCCUGCCUACACAGGCUAAAUGUAAGGCCUCCACUGAACAUUUCUGUCACUUUUGCUGUUCUGGCCACUUUGCUUAAUCAAAGAGCUGGAAGGAAAGCUCUCAUUAGAGAGGCUUCCUCAGUUGUACAAAAGCCUCUGCUUGGCUAAUUGAGGCUUUAGAGAGCUCGUGGUUCUGGUUGGGGUUGGUCUGCUUGAUGUGAUCUGGGCCUGAGGCAGAAUGAAGCAAGCAGACUUAAAUGAUGUCUGAGCUAACGUGAUGGCUGGAGAUGAACAGGGUUGUGUUCUGUUAAGGCUGUUGCUGAGAGACUACAGAGUUUCUUGCUGAAGCAGUAAACUGCUGGAAUGUGUUGUGGCUGGAGAGGUAGUUGGGAAUAUGUAGGUGAUAGUGGGAGUCUGCAUAGGGUGAGUUGAUCACUUUCUGCUUCCGUGUUCAGUGGUUGGAGCCCAGGCUCGUCAUAUAACAUGUUGGAGGAAAUAAGGGUGCAAGGCAAGCUGGGCUGCAGAGGAGUCUGAAUGGAGGAAGCAGGUCAAUGCCAGGGAAAAAGGUGUAAAGGAUAGGGGGACAGAGCUAAGGACUCUAGCUAAUAUAUCUGUAGUCCUCGAGGCUCUUAUGCUUCUGGAGCAGUGCAGCCUAGUCCAUUUUGUACGGACUAGACUAAAAUACAGACUCUGUAUUUUAUUAAAUUUUUUUGCGCAGUACUUGAUCCUAAAAGUUGCCACCUGAGAAUGAGUGAAGAAGGGGAGUUAUUCCAAGGGGCUUGUUUUGAAUUAGAUCAAUAGAACUUUUGGCCUUAAUAGUUGGUGUCCUAGGACGAGCUGAAAAAGAGCACUUGCUCUUUCAGGAUAUGGGAAUUCUUCCUCUGUGGUUAGUGAUUUGAGUGAAUCGCACCCGAGCAGGGUUCCUCUGCUGUGGGCCAAAGGCAAUGGUCUUAAUGGCCAUGCAAAAUGUGGAGUUGCCAGGCUUGCUUUGGAGGGCCCUGGCUUGUAAGUGGGUGUGCCCUGGAUGUUCUGGGUGGUGAAGCAGUGGAAGAGCAGGAGGCUGAAGGUCACAUGUUCAGCUGCUGGUGCUGAAAGCCAAUCUCCAUCCCAGGCAGAGUGUCUGAGCAGAGGUUUCAGACCGUUCAGUUGCCUUCUGCAGCUUUUGGAGGAUUGUCUUGCCAAGGAUCAAGCUGUGCUUGAAAGAGUUGGAGGGAGCAGUUGCUGCUGUUUGGCAAGCGUUGAUCCUGGUGCCUGGGCAGGAAGGCUCCCUGCUGUCUGAGCUGUCUCUGGUCAUGUGGCAGGGUCCUCCUUUCCUGUGGGAAAGAAAAUGGACCAGCUACUAAGUGCCUAGAAUUAGAAAUUAAGCUGCCCAGAGUAAGGAUGCAACCAGUGCAGGUCAGUUACUGAGCAGGGUAAAGACGGAACGCAUUUCCAAGUGGAGAUGGAGGGAAGGAGAAAGGGGAAGGGUCAGUGGGGUGCCCAUUGGAUCUUUACCAAAUUCCCAUGCAGUAUUCCUCAUUGGGCAGGCCUUGUUAGAUGUGUCUCAGUAGGUCUGGCCUGUCGGGAAUCAGCGCAGAGACAAAGGGACAGAUGAGGAAAGGAGACAGGAUAUACAGGAAUGUACAUGAUGUCACCCAAGGGACAUGUUAACUGUGAGUUUCUUUGUUACCAGUUUGAUGGUGUAUUAGUGCCUGACCUUGCGGUGAGGAUUUGGCCAUUCCCUCCUCCUCCCAAUUUCUUUUGCUGUUUGCUUUUUAUCUUCUUGCGAAGCAAUAAAGAUGCUGAAAUACGGAGAGUUCCUAUGGGAGUUGAACUCUUCAGAUACAGCAUUGCUCUGUGAAGAGAGAUGCAGGAAGUUGUGAGGGUAGGAAUGUGGAGGUUUGUCAGGAAAGCUUGGGCGAGGAGCUGAGAUGACUGUGAGACAGCACAGUUGGGAACAGCGCUGGGUAGUUGCCUUGCUCAUGUUGUGUCACAAUCUUCCCACGCCAUGACAGGUUCCAAAUGUGUGACAGAACUGUGCCUAAGACUGAAGGAUUCUCUGUCAUACAUCUGCUGUCUGUCUCCCACAUACGGAGGGGACAGGGACCUUUGUUUUGGUGGUAGAGGAUCCUCAGGCGAGCUGUCUGUACUGAUCUGAACAUAUGAUUUGGUGUGCCAGAGAUGAAGGUGUGGCUGAGCCGUGAGGCAGCUGGGAGGGCUCCGGGGAGCCAAGUGCAGGUUUGCUGUACGGUGUGACUUGGCUGAGUGAUGGCUUGUCAGGCAGGGGUGAAGUCUGGAUGAGUGCGGAAUAGAAACUUUGGGGUGGUUGUUAAACACACGAAAGCCAUCCUUAGCUCAUGUAGUCCCAGAGGUGCACGUUGUUAAGGGACUGGCCGUGUGUCCUGAAUGACUGUCCCUGCUUUAUUCUGUGUCCCUUGACAAGGUGUGUGCUGCUGGUUUCUGUCAGAGUGUGCUGGGCUGGGUGGUUCUUGGGUGUGGGCUGCAGCAGAUGUUCUUCUGAAAGAAGCUACUGCAGAAAUGGUGUAAAACAAAGGGAGCUUAAAAUUCUUCAAAGUACAUCGAUGACUUCUUACUGACUGAGCUACAUUUGCCUGGCUCACUGGUUGUCGAAAGCAAGCAGAGGAAGCUCUUUGGGCUUUAGAGAAGAGAGGCAGAUGACUUUUCCCUGACUUUCAAGGAUCCUGGGCCCAUGGCAGUGGUAAAUCAAGGUGGUCUCUGCAAGGCAGAGCAGGGUAGUGGAGUUAAUGGAUCACUGUGGCAGUAUGCAGAAGCUCAUAAAUAUAUUGGAGCUAGCCAUGGAUGAAAUGUGUCAUGUUUUGAUUCCCUAAAUGACUCUGAAAAGCUUGAUUCAAGACUUUGCUCUUAGAUUGUAGUUAUGGCUUUGUCCCCAGCUUUGCAGUAGUCUUUCACUGCUCACCUUUCUGAUAAGAGCUGUCUUUUCCCUAGAAUAAGUGAUCUGUAGCCCCAUGAGCCCCAGAGGAGUAGGUGUGGCCAGGUCUGUCCACGGAGUCCUGCUCUGUCAUAGACAUCACAUGCUCUUGGUGGAUUAUGUGGGUGUACUGGGUGCAGCUUUGUGUAUUCCUUGUUACCCAAACACUUGUUCAGAGCCUGGCAAUCUCCAAAGGAGCAGGCUGCACUAAUCACGGCUGUGGGAAGGUGAGGAAGCUGUGUGCAGUAUUGGGUUGGUCUGGAUGGAGCUGCCGUUGUUAGUUGUUGAUGUUUCUCUCAUGUCUAAGUGAGACUUUUGUACCUAGAGUAGGACGUGGUCUGUCCUUCGUGAAGCCUGUGUGCACCCUGCACCUGUGGUGCUUUCAAACCAGAAAAAGGGUAUGUGAUGGUUUUGUAUCGUGCUGCCAACAGGAAGGAAAAUAGUGUUUUAAAUGACAGCCAUUAAAUCCACUAAGGAGACAAUUUAUCAUGGCUGUGGAGUCAUCUUUCCUGUCAUCUGGGGCUUUGAAAAGGUGCUAAUGGUAAUGCUUGCUUAAAAUAUGUUUCAUGUUCCUAGGGACGUUUGGGAUUUUUUUUCCCCGGCUGGAGAUCUCUGUGUUACAAAGGUACACUGGAAUUUAACAUAGGAUUAGCUGACUGCUCUUAAUAAGACUUGCCUCUGGCAUUUGAGUGUAUGCUUAUGUAAGUAACUAUAUAUACUGAAAGUGAGGGUGUGUAAUGAAUUAUGGACAGCCUCAAUAGCAAACCGACCAAGGCUGUGUAGAAGUGACAAAGUGGAGAAAACAACUAAUGAAACAAACAAACAAAAAAACCCUAAAUAAUCACCUUCUGGGCCGAGAUUGUUUGUUUUUCUAUGGAUAUUAAUUGAACUGGAAUAAGUAUAGUGGGUUUGGAAGGAGGUGAAUUCUCCAUCCAAGGUAGACAAGAGAAGGUUUAGUGCAAGACAUGUUUAAUAAAGAAAGAUAUUUCAGAAACUCCUUGAGGCCCAAACUGUGAGAUUGAGCAUAGGAGUUAAAAUCCUGAUCCAUAUCAACCCGUGGAGUUACUUUUGUGUAGGAGAGUAUUCAACCCUUAUAUACCUGGAAGUUACUUAGGUCAGGAAGAAAAAGUGAGGGUCAGAACUUUUUGAGCUCUAUCUGAAUAUGCCCAAGCCAAAGCAUGUGUCAGCCUCUGUGUAUCUCACAGGGAGCUGGAGUGUGACCUGAAGGAUCGGACCUGGCCUAUCCUUAGAUUUUGCACCUGCUCUGUGAUGAGGUAAAGCAGCAGUGCUGGUGCGUGGUCCAUGUAUUGGUCAGGAGUUUUCAGCUCCCCAUGAAUGCCUUUGGAGCUCAGUGCAGCUGAGUUUGCAUCGUUGUAAAUUAAGCUCCUGCUGAGGUCAGAGGGCAGGAGCUAAUCUGUAAAUGAACAUUCCUCAAACUCUAGUUAUGCAUUGGACCUUUGAGAUCAGCUCUAACAAGCGUAAUGCAAACUGGAUUAGUUUGUUGUAUGCCACUGGGAAAUUAAAUGUGUCUUCCAAGUUCUUGUCACUUAAAAUUUGCUGUGACAUUUACUCUGUUUGACAAAAUGCAGGAAAAAGAGGUUCCAAUUAACCAGGACAUCAAAUGGUGUGGAUGGUGCAGUUUAUUUUGGAGGCACGAUACUCAAAAGGUCAGUCUCUCAGUCAGCUGACCUCAGUUGUUUGUAGCGUUGGCUGUGGCUAAUGAGUACUCAGCUCAGUCCAUAAUGGGAGCUUUAUGGAGGACAAAUCCAGAUAAUGGGUGCGUGUGGGCAAACUGGCUUUUUCUGAUAGCUGUGUGCUGGGGGCGGGGGGGAUGUGCAAAGUCUCUCUAACAUCGAGAAGAAGGGACUGAAUGCAGAGUUUAAGAGCCAAGAAUGUCGCCAUGAAGUCAAUACCCUCACACCUGAGCAGAAAUUAUUGCUUAGUGCUUCUGGUUGGGCUUGUGAACAGCGCAGAGCCAUGUGUAACAGGAUGGUGGUUUCAAGCCGGAGCAGAGCGGUAGUUCCUUGGGUAUGGUAAAUGGAAAUGUAUUGCUGCGUCCACACAGAGCAGUCAGUGCUGAUGACAGCCUGGAGGGAAGGUGGCCAAGUCUCCUGGUAGGCUGUUGUUUUUCAGCUGCUUUAAAUGUUGAUAUCCAUCAGUUGCAAGUAACUCAUCACUUGUACUAGAGUUCAUGGCAGCUGCUGGCCCUUUAUGUGGGCUGUUUCCAGUGUCGGCACUGGGCUGUAGUAUAUCAGCCUGAAAAAAUGUACAGUUUGAAAAUUAGGCUUUUGGGCAGAGCUUCUUAAAUGAUGCUGGAUUUGCACCAAAUUGACCCCCAGGAAACUGUUAACAUUAAGCUGGCCAGGCACCUUCCCUUUCUGCUCAAAGCUUUGGGUGUUUGGGUUAAAAAUGUGUCAUUUUUCUGUGUCCCAGCAGAACCACGUUUUACCUAAGUUUUUAAAAGCGCUGCAGCAUGGUUUUUGUCUUCUGCUGUUAAGUGAAGCCUGAUAGGGCAAUGCUGACUGGCAAGUGGCAGCUCGUGGAGGUGGUCAGCCUUAAUGUAGCCCAUAGAUUUGAACAGCACUGGUGCUGGCCAUGUGCUUGGGAAUGCCCAUUUGAAAGAAAUUAAAAAUAAUUUAAUAUGCUGCUGAGAUCUCUCUGAAUGUUACUUAUUUAAGAGGUAAGAAUAUUUAGCAUUCUUUGGUAAAUACUUCUGCUUCUUAAUACUGUGUUUGUUUUCCUUCAUUGAACUAGAUUCCAUGUAUGCACUGUUUCAGAGGAGUGUCCAGCAAAUACCUGGGAUAUACUGUGCUGUGAGCAAGGCAACCUCUAGGAUUUACCUUGUCUGCUUUCCACUGGGCUCUGUUGAAUUCAGUGGGACUGGGAAUGCAACUUCCACUGGAGUUGGGAGAGGGGAGGAAACAGUGAGAGUAAGAGGGCUGGGAGAAAGCUUGCACUACUGUAAGUUGCUGGCAGUAGGGUCACAGGAGAGAGCAAGAAGUUGCCUUGAAUUUCUGGAGGAAAUAAGAACUUGGAAUGGUGGAUUGUGAUACUGUCAGGCUUUUGGCUGAAGCAGACUUCCUGAGGCACAGUGCGAAAGAAAUAAUUUCUCAAAUUAAAUAGAACUCCCUGCAUAAUUGAAGUCAUAGCAACAAAAUGACCUCACUGCAACUUUACUCCCCCCUCCUUGUAGUUGUUUCUUUAAUUUCGUACAAUAUGUUAUUCUUGUUGUUUGGAAUCGUGGGGAGGAGGGAGAGAGGGAAAACCAACCUGUGUAAAAAUUAGCUUUGAGUUAUUCCAUCUGUGGACUCUUAAUUUUGUCAUGAAAACAGAGAAGCCUGGCAGGAAGCGAGCUUGUGACUGGCUCCAUGUAUCCUCUUGUCUGGAGCUGGGUAAGAAGUGUGGCAUUUAGAAUGAAAGCAAAAGCUUCAUUUCUGGAACUCUGAGUGUUUGCCCAAUUCUUUGACCAUCUGUUUUUGUUGACAACCACCUCUUUGUGUUGUGCCAAAGUUAUUUUGGCUUUUAUAAUUUGUAGAUGCAUGUGCGUGUGUGUAUAUGGUGGAGUGGUUGUGUGUGUCUGCGUGUGGAUCAUUAGGUUGCUGCUGACUGGGUCAGACUGGGGAAAGUGGGAUGUGUAGAAGCAGGUAUUCUGUGAGGAUUGAAUUACCAGGAGAAAUACAGUUGAGUAAUCCUGGCUUCUCUUAGAGACACUUGAGUCCUAUCUGUGUUACCCUGUCAAAAGCUGCCAGCUUCUAGUGGCUGUCCUUAAGUAACUUUGGUUGCGUCACAGCCAUUUAGAGUAGGCAAGUACUUUCCUCAGAAAUGAAUGCUGGGGUGAGCAGUCCUGAUGGAGAGCCCGGCAGUUGACUGCAGGUGGAUAGCAGCUGGGUCCCUGUGCUCCGUGGUGCUGGCACGGAGGUGCUCAACCACCUUAGCCUCUCUUGAGCUGUGCUGCUGUUCCGUUCUUGCUGUCUCUUAGGGGGCAGUUACUCAUUCCCUGCAUCCUUCAUAUAAUUUUAUCCCCAACCAGUAUGGAAUGGAUAUGCGCGCGAGCAGCUAAUGUUGAGAACUCUGUUGUAGAACUGCAAAAGGACUUGAAAAUUCAGCCUCAAAACUUGGCAUGAGACAUCUUUUUGAGCAUGUGUGUGUUUCUAAACCUGUGUUUUCUCUACCUUGAAUAAAAUGUCUUUGUUUUCUUCUGAAAGCUGUGUAGGGAAGCUGAGUGCUUUCUGUGCUUUCCACACUGAGUUUUUCCUGCAGUGCCUUCUGAACUCUUGUUGGCAUGAGGGUAGGCCAGAGUAACAUCUACAGCCCAUGACAGCAGCAAAAUGAGGCUAACAAAUAUCCUUCUGAGGAUGCAGCGUGACAGCUUCAUCCAUCCCGCUGCAUUUGCAUCGGGAGUGCGGAAUGGCUGCGUGUCAUGGGCCACUGCCACUGCACACAGUCAUUUAUUUAAUAACUCGUGCACAGGCAUUAAAGGGGAGCCUGCAAGACAUCAGUGUGGUGGAGACAAAUAAGAAAUUAAGAGAUGGCAGCAUUUAGAAAAGUUUAGUUUGUGCUGUUCCAUCAUGGUAACUUUCUGUUCAGCAGUGCUUCAGGUAUAAAGUGAAUGGGGUUUUUAUGGGCAGUAGCAAGGCCUGCACUGUGGCGUGGCACGGUGGCUUCCCUGUGUUUUUUGCUAUGCUGUGAGUUUGCGGGUGGCCUCUUCCAAAGAUAAGCUUUUUCUCUUGCAAUAUCAAGUGUUAGAGUUAAUUAUGCAGCUUGCACGAGAUGCUUCUGGCGUGUGAACCAGGUAGAUUAAAACUGCUUCAAAUCUGGAUGAUUGCUUAUUUUUCUCCAGAGCAUCAUUAAUUCAUGUGAAAUUGAGUCUCUUUGUUAAUCAGGAUUUUUCUAGGAAUACCAAGUGCUACAAUUCUAUCCUGGGGAGAACUGGUUUAAAGUGGAGUGCCUUGAAAUUCAGCUUUUUAAAUACUUACCUAGAGAGAUAAAUGGAGAAACUGAAACACAUGGAAUAGGUAGUCACUUCAGAAAAGCUGUUUGUAAGCAUAAAAUGGUAAUCUUUCUGUCACUUUAGAUGCCUUUUCAGGGAUUGCCUUCCAGUCCUGUGUUUCUGUGUGCAAGUGAGGUGUCUGGGGUCUUUGAGAUGUGUUGACUUGUGCAGAUGCUUCUGGUGAGUGCUGGUUCGGUUGGCUAUGAACGUGUUGCCUCAGAAACCAAACUGAAGUUAUACUAAGUAGAACAGGACUGAAUUUGGGUGAGGACAGUAUGUCAUGCUGAAAAAAGGGAACAGCGAAGGUUCUGUGCAUGUACAAAUAGAUGGUGUUGUUUCUGUGAAAAAUACAAAGCAGGUUUUUAAAUGGCAGAGUCCAGAUGAAAAACUCCUAAACCCUGUGCAGGCACUUAAAAUGGAUGUUUUUUGCUGCAGUGGGAAGAAAGAGUCCUUCAUUUUUCUCAUUGGUGGGAGCCCAUUUUUAACAGUGUAAAAAAAAUAUCAUGUUGUCUGCUGUAGGAGUAAGUCAUCAGAUUAACGAGAGAGGAACACCAGAGGUUGUCAGUCCCCCUUAGCAUCAGCCGUGUCUUCCUCACAGCCAGGCUAGUUCUAACCCUUCAGUUCUUGUUUGCAGAACUCACUGUGUGCAAGGAAUGUCUCUUGGGUAGCUUUGCUUAAUAGCAGUUAAGAAUCAAGGGCCUUGGAAGUGUAGCGUUCAAAGCAUUUCUGUUCUCAGAAGGCUGGAGAAAAAGAUGUUUGAAAAAUAAAAAAUGCCAAGGGUAGAACGUGCAUGGAAGGCUAGAAAAAAGGCUCAGGCAAGAGGGAUGACUGUUCUGUUGUGUUCUCACUGACCUAGCACCCUGUAUUUCCUAUGUUGUUGUUAGUAAUAUUGCUGCCGCUGCAGUAGAGGAUGGCUGCAGAGGUUAUGAAUGCCUGCCUGGUAGGGGAGCGAGUGUCUCAGUCUUGUCUAGAAACUGGGGUAACUCAGCAGCUGUAUGUGUGUGCAGCUGGAGAGAAAGUGGAGCUCUUGGGCCAGGUGUGGGGAAAAGUCACCUGUCUGUGCAUGUCAGACACCCGAGGUGGGUUCUGCUGUUGGCCUGUUGCUGAACAAUGGCACGUUGAGAGCUGAACUGCAGUGUUCUGUCUAUCUGCAGUCACUUGCUUGGGCUGCUUGGAAGCACUGACGUGAAGAAAAACAGGCAAGUGGUAUUGGCCACUUGUGCCCUCUCCAUACCUGGAACACAUGGGUCAUAGAGAGCCUGUCCUGCAGCUCUGGGAACCCAUACUUAGCCAUUACUCAAGCUCUCUGUAGGUAUAAAUGAAUGCCACCUCAUGGAUUUCAGUGCCAUUAACAUCCGUGAAAGCAAGCGGAGGUGCCAGAGUCCGAGAGGGCAUGUAACAAAACCAAAAGGUUCCUGUGGAUUUGCAUGUAGUAUUGUGGUGUUGCCUUCUGGUGAUAUUUAGAGAAGACUGAUGUUUAGGACCUCCUGUGUUUUCUAGAUGGCUAAAUAAUUAAAAAAAGAAAUACCAGAAGAACGAAAAAGGCACCAUAUACUUGACGGACAAGGAAAAGCCUGUACUUGAAACAAAGCUAUGUGUAAAUUCGGAGUUCUGCUCACUAGACUAAAAGUACAUUUAUCUUGCAGUGGCAGAUGGUUUCCAGAGUUGAUUUCAAAGCAGAGAGCAGUGCAGAGGGAAAGGAUGAGGACUGUCUUCCCAUCAGUCGGGGGCGAUGGGUGGUGAUCCAGUUUAGCGCUGGUACACAGGACCUGCUUCUCUGACUGCUCAUUUGUAGUUUUGUGGUACCCUGUUUUCCAGGCUGUUAUUUUGGGCAAGAUGUCUAGUUUUCAGCAUUGUCAUGAGACCUCUGGUAACAGCUGAACACAGCUGAUACCUUACUACUGCUGUCGCUACAUGGAACUAAUAAAUACCUAGUUUGAAAAGCACACGGAUUCAGUGAGGUAUGAGUUGCUUUCAUAAGAUGUGGUGGACUCUUGAAGGGCUUUUUUUAUGGCUGUUGGGAUGUGUUUGAUGUUAGGGCUCCAGCUUACCUAGCAGCUGCAGUCUCGAAUGUGGAAUAUUUCAGAUCUUGAUGGGUUGGUUUGUUUCUCAGUUGCUGUUCAGACUCCUUCCCAUGGCUGGAGUGGGUGGAAAACCAGGCCUUUUUCCCUCACUGAUAUUGGCACCUACCCAGACUUUCCAAAGUUGGUGGCAGAACCCAAUGCAAAAUACUGAAGUUGUCUAAGUUCUUUGGAGGUAUGUGGUACCGUCCCUUGUCAGGAGUUUAAAGUGCAGAAAACUCUGCUUUGAAGAAGGGUGGGCUGAAAUACCCUCCUGAGCUUCAUUUCAGCUGUAAUUCUUUGGAUUUAUUAGUCUAAUUUGAAGUAUUCUUUGUCACUAAGGAAGUAUUGUAGACUGUUGCUAAUUCUGGCUGGAAAGCUUGUUUUGGUCAGCAGAAAUCUUGUCUGGCAUUUGCUAGAUGCUUGGUGGUGAAUGGGGGAGGCUGAUUCUUUAUCAAGGAAGACUUCAGGACUUGAAAUCCAAACCCCAGUUUCUUCCAGAAGGAAUGGAAUCAUCUAAAGUGUGUGAUGACCUUGAUAAUUUUGAUGAGAAUUCUACAUUACAACUGUCUGCUCUUGUU